rnacentral:rRNA from 1 species
CGGGGGGGAGCAAGCGUUGUUCGGAUUUACUGGGCGUAAAGGGCGCGUAGGCGGCCACCGCAAGUCGACUGUGAAAUCUCCGGGCUUAACCCGGAAAGGUCAGCCGAUACUGCGGGGCUAGAGUGCAGAAGGGGCAACUGGAAUUCUCGGUGUAGCGGUGAAAUGCGUAGAUAUCGAGAGGAACACCUGCGGCGAAGGCGGGUUGCUGGGCUGACACUGACGCUGAUGCGCGAAAGCUAGGGGAGCGAACGGGAUUAGAUACCCCGGUAGUCCUAGCCUUAAACGAUGAAUGCUUGGUGUCUGGGGUUUUAUAGUCCCCGGGUGCCGUCGCUAACGCUUUAAGCAUUCCGCCUGGGGAGUACGGUCGCAAGACUG